CUCUACAUACAUACCACCCUGAACAUGCCUGAUCUUGCCUAAUCUCAGAAACUAGCCAGGAUUGAACCUGAUUACUGUUUGGACGGAAGAAAGGCCAAGCAGAUG
rnacentral:rRNA from 1 species